rnacentral:rRNA from 1 species
UGCAAGUCGAACGGCAGCGCGGGCUUCGGCCUGGCGGCGAGUGGCGAACGGGUGAGUAAUAUAUCGGAACGUGCCCAAGAGUGGGGGAUAACGUAGCGAAAGUUACGCUAAUACCGCAUACGAUCCAAGGAUGAAAGCAGGGGACCGCAAGGCCUUGUGCUCCUGGAGCGGCCGAUAUCUGAUUAGCUAGUUGGUGAGGUAAAGGCUCACCAAGGCGACGAUCAGUAGCUGGUCUGAGAGGACGACCAGCCACACUGGAACUGAGACACGGUCCAGACUCCUACGGGAGGCAGCAGUGGGGAAUUUUGGACAAUGGGGGCAACCCUGAUCCAGCAAUGCCGCGUGAGUGAAGAAGGCCUUCGGGUUGUAAAGCUCUUUUGUCAGGGAAGAAAAGGGUGCGGCUAAUAUCCGUACCUCAUGACGGUACCUGAAGAAUAAGCACCGGCUAACUACGUGCCAGCAGCCGCGGUAAUACGUAGGGUGCAAGCGUUAAUCGGAAUUACUGGGCGUAAAGCGUGCGCAGGCGGUUUUGUAAGUCUGACGUGAAAUCCCCGGGCUUAACCUGGGAAUGGCGUUGGAGACUGCAAGGCUGGAAUCUGGCAGAGGGGGGUAGAAUUCCACGUGUAGCAGUGAAAUGCGUAGAGAUGUGGAGGAACACCGAUGGCGAAGGCAGCCCCCUGGGCUAAGAUUGACGCUCAUGCACGAAAGCGUGGGGAGCAAACAGGAUUAGAUACCCUGGUAGUCCA